rnacentral:rRNA from 1 species
CGUCUAUAUACGUAUAGCAUAUCAAUAAGCGGAGGAAAAGAAACUAACAAGGAUUCCCUUAGUAACGGCGAGUGAAGCGGGAAGAGCUCAAAUUUGAAAUCUUCAAGGUUCUACCUUGACGAAUUGUAGUUUAUAGAAGUGUUUUCUGUUGGAGUUGGCUAAAAGUUCUUUGGAAUAGGACAUCAUAGAGGGUGAGAAUCCCGUAUUUGACCAUUAUUUCAGCUUUGUGAUACACUUUCAAAGAGUCGGAUUGUUUGGGAAUGCAGUCCAAAAUGGGUGGUAAAUUUCAUCUAAAGCUAAAUAUUGGCGAGAGACCGAUAGCGAACAAGUACCGUGAGGGAAAGAUGAAAAGAACUUUGAAAAGAGAGUUAAACAGUACGUGAAAUUGUCAAAAGGGAAGCGUUUGACACCAGUGUUGUUUUUCCGAAAAUCAAUUACGAAUGUUUUGUUUUUGAGGAGUUAUGACUUCAUCGGCUUGCUCCUUUCUUUACGAAACUUUCUUAAUGCACUUUUCGGUUAACAAGUCAACAUCAAUUUCUUUUGUUGUAAAAGGGUAUGAGGAAGGUGGCUUUCUUUUCGGAGAAAGUGUUUAUAGCCUUGUGCCUCUGCAAUCGGAGAGAUUGAGGUCUGCAGCGUAGAUCCUUCGGGGUUAGAUACAGUUUGUGCUAAGUUAUAGCUUUUCAUAGACAACUUGUUGACUAUGUUUAGUCAUGCGGCUUACUCGCUUAUGCUAUUUUACCUACGCUUAGGAUGUUGACUGAUAUGUAGUCGU